rnacentral:lncRNA from 1 species
UUGCAAAUUAGUUGAGCAUGAAAACAUGUCCUUUUUUUUGUGAAGAAAGAGGUUGGCAUCUCUCAGAUUGAGUAUUUUAAGUCAUAUCCUUUUGAAGACAUUUGUGAAUAUUGUAACAUUCAAACCCUUUAGUGUGACAUAUUCCUGAUCAUGCUCAUGCCCUCGGGGUUUACAUUCUACUACUUCCCAGUGUGCCCAAGCAUCAGUAGACAGAUUUUACCCUUCUCAGUCUUUUAUCCUUGCUGAACACACUAGUCCUCCUCCAUCAACUUUCACUGGUUAAUUAAAAAAAAAUUUUUUUUGGUUGUAGGUGGACACAAUACCUUUAUUUUAUUUGUAUGUGGUGUUGAGGAUUGAACCCAGUGCCUCAUACAUGCUAGGCGAGCAUUCUACCACUGAGCCACAACCCCAGCCCUCACUGGUUAAGUAUUUUAAAAAUAUUUUAGCCUUCCAAAAUGAAUUCAAGUCUUCUCAGCAACUUAGCAAGAUCCUGUCUCAAGAUAAAAAUAGAAACCGCUGGGGAUGUAGUUCAUGGUAGACCACUCAUGGGUUCAAUCUAAACACCGGGCACACCCACAUACACAUGCACUCAGAUACACAUACACAUAUACACACAUGUGAUAAUUCAGUUGCACCUCUGUAGUGUAGACAAUGUACAGUCCCAUGUCCUAAUAAUAGCUUCAUCUCUUACAAUAUGUAGGGAGCCCUGAUUGUACCAUACAUAGAAUAAACCCAAAUGCGUUUGAAUAAUUUCAUCAAAAGUCUAUUAAAUACCUUUUAGUUUCCAGACACUGAGGCUAAGAAAGUACAUGAUAUGGUGUGGUAUGGUGCCUUACUCUAAGGUGCUUAUGGGGUAUUUGAGGCAUUGAAGCUUUGCUAUCAUGGUGAUAAAAACUGAGUAGAACGGAGACAAAAUCCAUUACCCUUGGGAAUUAGGUGUUGUGGCUCAGAUAAAGCUACAGAAAGAUGUCUCUGAGCCAGCACUGAACUUAAUGAAUGCAUAAAACAAUUAUCAUCAUUACAUAAUUAAUGUGAUUAAACUAUGUCCCAUGUCAAACUCAAAAGCUGUAUUCUCUGCACUUUAUGACACAGAGGACCUUCGGUUACCAUUAUAAACUAAGAGUUCCCCAUCAACUUGAAAAAUAUUAUUAAAUAACUCCUUAGUUACUUAUUCUUUGGGCUGUUAUAACCCAGUUCCUUUUAUCUUUUCUCAAAGUUCUGAUUUUCUCAGUCUUUAAUCAUCAUUUUGUGUCUCUGAACUCCCUCCAAAGCCUCCAUGCCCUCUUUGACUCCGCAAUCCCACAACUGGUUCCUUUGCUGGAUAAACAGCAGGGGAAUGUCAUGGACAACCAAGUGAGUGGGCAGGCCUCACUGAGCGGAGCACCCAAAUCACAGAUCCUUAUUCAGAAUCUCCCAGCCCUGUAGUGCAAAACUUGGCUGUGGAUCAAAAGUGUUUUAAUGGCCUGUUCAUACAGCAUUACAUGAGGGUGAUGAUUUUUUAAAAAUUCUUCUGGGCAUAAUAUUAAACCCCAGAAACCUCCAAAUAAGUACAUCCAUACAGAACCAGAUAUUUAAGAGCUAUGUAUGAUUUCCAUUAUUUAUUUGUUUAAAUGAAUGUGAUACAGUAAAAAUAUUUAAGAUGCAAACUUAUGUAUGUGUGUAUAUAUACACGUGUGUGUACUGUACUAAAUAUAUAUUAAAUAUCUAGUUACAUAAAAUUAAAUAAGGC